rnacentral:rRNA from 1 species
UACGAAGGUCCCAAGCGUUGUUCGGAUUCAUUGGGCGUAAAGGGUGCGUAGGCGGUCGCGCAAGUCGGAUGUGAAAUCUCAGGGCUCAACCCUGAAACUGCAUUCGAUACUGCGUGGCUAGAGUGCUGGAGAGGAGACUGGAAUUUACGGUGUAGCAGUGAAAUGCGUAGAUAUCGUAAGGAAGACCAGUGGCGAAGGCGAGUCUCUGGACAGCAACUGACGCUGAGGCACGAAGGCCAGGGGAGCAAACGGG